UACGUAGGGGCUAGCGUUAUCCGGAAUUACUGGGCGUAAAGGGUGCGUAGGCGGCCCUUUAAGUCAGAUGUGAAAGCCCGCAGCUUAACUGCGGAAUUGCAUUUGAAACUGGAGGGCUUGAGUGUCGGAGAGGGUAGUGGAAUUCCCAGUGUAGCGGUGAAAUGCGUAGAUAUUGGGAGGAACACCAGUGGCGAAGGCGACUGCCUGGACGAUAACUGACGCUGAGGAACGAAAGCUAGGGGAGCAAACAGGAUUAGAUACCCGCGUAGUCCCU
rnacentral:rRNA from 1 species